UACCGGUUACAUACUUUUCAACGAAUUCAGUUUACCCUUUUACUCUACGAAUAAUGAGUAUAAUUACCCAAAAGGUUAUAAACCAUAAACUUUUACAUCAAACUGCAUCAAAUAAAAAGCAAAAAUUAAGUUUUAGCAGACUUACACUCGAUUAAUAUAUGAGGGUCAAGAUUUUGCAGGUAAAAAGAAAAAUCCUAGAAGAUGCAAAAAGGUUAACAAAAUCUGUUUAACUCCCUACCUGCUCAUUGCUAGUUGUAACGAAUACAUAUAUACUCAAAUGAUAAUGGAGCGACAUUUUCCUGCCAUCAACAAAUUUUCAUUUUUGAGCCGACCUUUUAAUGAUUUGUUUAUAUAUUUAAUAGCCAUCCUCGUCCCGCAAGACCCGAGAGGACAGGGCUCCUUCGCCGCAUGAAUUAGAGCUUAGCCACUGCUGCCAUUUGGAAUUCUGCUCAGAACUAUACUGGAAUUUCCACAUUUCGACGAAUUCUGUCGCUUUUUUUUAAGUGCAGUCACGUAAAUUUCGAUUUUUUAAAAAUGCCAGAAAAUGUCACCCUCCUGUUGGGGGAAAGUGCGAGUAAGGAGAAUGCCCGCUGCGCUUGUCGUCAGACAAAGCGACGGCAUCAAUUUGUAUCGUUAAAUUAGUAUUCCGCUUCAAUUUGCAAUGGAAACCAAAUCACCAGAAGCACAAACAACGAAAAUCCUUUAUACGUCGAAUCUGGUCAGCGGUAAAAUUGGUAAGGUCGUAGGUGAAAAGGGCCCCAACUAUAUGAGGGAUGUCCGUUCAGCGAGGGGUGACUCCCCGAUGUCCAUCGAAUCUCAUUUUUGUAUUGGACAAUUAUCACAUUAAUAAUGCGUUUUUGUCCGCCCCAUUUUUGUUUCAACAUUGAAUGUCGGGACCAUCAUAUCAGACAUUCAGUCCCUCAUAGACUCAGUCGCCUAUGGAAAUUAACAGUUAAUUUAACUUAGCUUUAAAUAUAGCUUUAUCAUGAUGGUCUUCGUAUCGCUGUUUGUUGGCUGUUCUGGUGUCAACACAUCGCGCCGAUACUCUGCUGGUUAGCCGGCAUCUACUUGUCGCCCCACAUUGUGUCAGAAUGAAAUUGUAGUUGUCCCGCAAAUUUUUGUCCGUUUAAAAUUUGUUUUAGUUAAGAGCCCGGUGUCCGAGAAUUUAAAAUGUAUUUUAUUGUCUUUUAUGCAACUAAAAAUAAAUGACUAAAAUCAUUUAAAAUAAAAUGAUACCUCAAUGAUACUUUAACCGUACUACCAAAAUGAUUAUAUUAAGUAUCCCAUCGUCUAUUACGUCAUUCCUCAACCAAGGACGCCUUGGGAAGAUGGCUAGUUCACGCCAAAGCUGAAGCCAAUCGCUAACCCUACCUACACCAAAAUCUGUUGGCUCCUCUGGAUAUUUCGGGACGGGCACAGUAAAAAUAAAAAUUAAAUUGCGUCCAAAUGGAAAGGGGCUAGACACCAUUAGAUGGGGGCGAAUAAUCAACUUAUGUAGUGUCGGGUCAGUUGGCAGUAAAAUUCCACACUUUUCUUUACAAUUUCACACCCAGAGACCGGAGGGAAAGGAUGAGGAAUGUGACAUCAAUUGACACAAAAGUUUAGCGUAAAUAUCUGCCCAGAUAGAAAGAAAAUACUCGGGACAAAGAGACAUCCAUAAAUUCCAGCGGUCACUCUCUUUCUCCGAGAACUUGUGACUAAGUGUGUGUAACCAUUUAAUGACAAAGAAUGAAAAAGAACAAGUUGCGAAUGUACGACAUACAGAUGGAGACAUCGCGGCCAGACUCUAAUUGUUAAUUCCGAUGCAACAGCAGAUACAAGUACUGUUCAUUUGUAAAUACGGAGGAUAGGUAGGAGGGGUGGGGUCGAGAGGGGGUGGUUUAUCGCAUAAUCAAACUAAUUAGAUUCGAAUCAUUAUUUAAUGCUGCAUCGUUAUAAACAUUGUUUUACGCCAGUGCCGCACAUUGUAAAGCAUCUUGCAUGUAUUAGGUUGCAUCGUAAGUAAUGUUUUCGAAAAGGUCCAUUCUCUUAAAAAUUUACUAUGUAUUUUAUCACUUAGUCACAUAUUCUGUUUAAUAGGAAACACGACUUUCCCGGGGUAAGUCCAUGUAGAUAUUUAUACAGAAUUUUUAGAAACCUUCUUCUGACUACAACAUUCUUUUCAACGUCCAGAAUAAAUUGAAACUCGCAAUCGCACAUAAUUUAAUCCGCCUCUAUUUUAUUGAUAAUUCAAUUAUAUUAUUUUAACUAAGAUUCGAGUUGCUCAACAAUUUAAUUAGUCAUUCGUCUAGUUUUUCCGUCUGCCAUGCCACCGUAAAAAUUGCAUUCGGUUUGAGGCUGUUUUGCAAAUGUGAUGUUUUUGCUCCCUUCGCCAUUUAUCAGCAACUCCCUGCUAUUUUUGCCACUAUGAUGCGAACGGAGGCGGUAAUUCCAUGGCUUCAUUAUUAUUUUAUUAUUCCGCAACCAAGGCCGCGCCGAGUCCGAGAAAAUUGGAAGGGGAAAAGGCUAGUGAAGUGACUUCACAACCUCCUGCCUGGUACGUGAAUUGUAAAUUGACGACGUCGCCACUAAGGAAUCAUAAUAUAUAUGAAAAAAAUUGCAGAUUGUCGAUAUAAAUUUACCCAAACAAUGCGUUUAGUCAUGUUCGGGUUACCGAAGUAAUGCAUUUGGAAGAGAUAAAUAAGAAUGAAAUAAAGAUUUGGAAGAAGAAACAGAUUAUAAAUAGUAGCUUCGUCAUAAAUCUUGCGAUAAAUGAGGAAUUAAUCCCGUUAUAUAUAUAAUUCCAGUAGGUAUUACUAAUGGAAAAUGUUGAGAUCGACAGAAAAUCGACAAUAUCGAGUUUUUAGAUAUCUUCUCGUAUUCAUUUGUUCAAUGGCUUACCCAAUAACAGAAAAUUUAUGAUCGAUCAAAAAUGAUACCCUUUUUACAUAGCGAUCAUUAAAUCAGAAAAAAAUAUGCAAUCAGUUGCUUUAUUUUUUUCUUAUCAGACCAUUACUCAUAAAAACAACCACCGUUUUCCUGAAACAAGUAUUCGAUAUAAAAUUAUUUGUAUUUAUUUAUGAAAAUACGCACACUUUGCUGGAAAAUAUGGUUAUUCCGGGGUUUCCAUCAUUCCAACCCCAAAACGAGAACAUACAUUGAGUAAUAACAUUUAAAUAGCCAUUAAGUUUAAUUGGAUUAGGCAUACAGGCAUGCUGGAGAUGGAAUCAUGCGAUCCAGACUAUAACCAGCGAAAGGGACGACAGCAGAUAGCAAAAUAUGCAGAUUGUUGAGUCAAAUUUUAAUUGACCGCACGAGCAGGUCAUAAAAAUUCGGAAUUUCUAUUGGGUGUUAGCAAAGCAAUACAAAAAUACAAAUAAAUUUGUCUUCCCAGCUAGUCGGUCCCACCCACCCCUGUCUUCCACCAAUAAACACAAUAUUUCCUAACUAAAAACAUCUUAACCUGGAGAAAAAUAAAUUUUAUUCUUAAGAGAGUUAUUAAACGAGUUAUUGCUAUUGUAAUGUGGUCAAUAUAAACCUUAUCAAACGCUUAAAACUUUUAGGUGAGAUGCAAUAUAGAAUUAUACCGAAUCCGAGUUUCAGUCUGUCAUUUUUAGAUCUGCAUGCAGCGACUUAAUUAUCUUGAACUACUUCAUUAAGCGAGUGUGAGUGAAAGGGACCUGAAGGUUCGAUAAUGAAUGCACACACCCUCUAUUGUCCGAUGUCGGUAGUUAAUAGUGUGUAUAUCUCGCUGGCAGUUCUAUCUCAUAGUAUCUCAUAUCUCGGAAAUGAAUAGGGCUUGGUGAAAGAUGGCUGGUGGGUAAGGUUGAGAAACUGGCGCGGGGACUCCGUCGGAGCAGGAAGGAAUAGGACUAGUUGCAAAUGUCAGUACGACCUAGAUUACAAGUAAAAUAUAGCUGGGGUUAUUUCUGCCUUAUUUCUUAUCAUUGGGUACAAUUUUUGAUUCCAUGAAUUCUGCCUUGUUGUUUGACCGUCGGUCGUAAGUUCGUAGAAAAUUACGAUUAGGCAUGAAUAUUCUAAUAACGCCUACGAUACACAAGUUUGUUUCAGAACGUUGCCACACCCACUCUAACGCCCACAAGCCGACCACAACAAACACAGCCGCACUUUCCAUCGAUAUGCCAAAAACAUGUACGCAACGCCUACACCAACGCCCACAAACCGCCCAAAACUGUCAUGACCACACUUUUAAAAAGUUAUACAAUUUUGUAAACUAAUUUUUUUUUAACUUUCUAAUAUUCUCAAAACAUUCUUAGUCCCAAAGAAUUGCCUUACUUCUAUUAUCUCCCACACCGAAAAGGAGAUAACUCUUAAUAAGCUAAUAAUUUUUUAUCACGCAUGUACGCAGUUUCCCAUAAAAAACAGAACAAAACAGCAUGUGGGAAAAAUCAUUAAAUGCGCGCCAUGAACAGCAAAGGAAAUGCUUGCAACUGCAACUGCAGCAGCACCAACUACAAACGAUAGCUUAGUCAGCCGUGAGACUGAUCCACCCACUUAAGCCACGGCAGACGGGUUGUGCGGCUAGCACACAUGAUAUUUUAUUUUUACAAAACAAGCAUUUACCCGGCACAUAUGACAGUUAAUAACAGCAACAGCAGCAACAAAAUGCUAAAAUUCCCACAACAUCCGGUUCAGAGCAGUCAAAAGGCGAGAGUAGCGACACAACAAAAAUAAAUAAAGUGAAACGGAACAAAUAAAACUCAGACUAAAAAUCGACAACCAUUUGCGGCACAGUGGUUUAAGGAAAAGGAAACAUAUGCAUCAACAUAUUGCCAAAACCUCGCGAUGCAUUUAAAUUUAGCUUUACACUCAAUACGAAGGUGAAGUUGUCCAAUUUCCGUAGGCCUUUCUUAGAAAUCUCAAACAGUGAAAAGUAGUUAUGACCAGUGUAACCAAGGUUUUACCCCGCGUCGGUAGGCGCGAAUAGCGUCCACGUGAGUUGCGGAUUGAAUCCUGGGGUAUAUGGUGGCUGGUGGUGUCGAGUUAAAGGCACUGAGGCACUAUGGCUGCCAACGCAGUCCGGAUGCGAAAAGCAGCAGCUGCGUGAGUCAGCUGCCGUGGAAUGUGAUUGGCAUACAAAAUGUCGCAUGCGGACCAGUUCAGCGGGGGACGGAAAAAGCCCAGAGAAAUAAAACACUCAAAGUAGAGGCAGUCAAGGAGAGAAUGGAAGUGGCGGUGCUGGGGAGUAAUGUUUUUGCAGUUGCAGUGCCAGUGGUGCCAAUGCAAACAAGUCGCCGCCGGUCACGACUGCGUGGGAGGGAAGUCUGGUAUAUCAUGUCGGUGGGUGUCGCACCGCCACCAAGUCUUUAUCUGGAUUCCCAGUUCACCGGCUAUUCCGACGCGUACUGCCUUGCGCCGGUUUUGAGCAAGAGAUGCUGGCAGCAACAAGUUUCAGCAACUAAAUUGGCUGGUGCUGGUGGUAUCCACACACAGGCAGCAUACAUUGAAAAAAUUUUAAAAUUUAUAAACGCAAAAAAAUUUGUUUUAUUUAUAAUUUGCAAAAAUAUAGUUAAUUACCAUUGAUUGUCUAAAAUUCUAUGUAUAUUUAAACACGGGGCCUAAGCGUGUAUCUUUUUACAAUUCAAUUUCGUGAACUUGUUGAAGUCAACCUACAUUCCUUAGAUUUCUCCACGUGUCAGCAAAAAUUAACUUUUAAUGAUCUGUCGACCGCUUCGCGAUUUGUCCAGCAAUUAAAGAGUCCAAAGAUCAAUCAAUGUCCACUGUUUCAGAUUACUGAUCUAGUCAAAUAAUUAUAGAUCUGAUAGAAACCGCCGUAAAGCACCCAGUUCCGGACUUGAACUGCAUAGUAGCUACUACAUCCAUGUAUGUUUGCCAUUUUUGAUUGGACCUCUCUGGUCCGAUGAUAAUGAUAAUAAUAAUGGCGCCGCUGAUGACUAUAAUGAAUGGAGGAGCACAGAUGGCAAACAGAUCCGAGAGUAGGGCAGAGCAGAUACACUUGACUCAUUUACAAGUCGGACACAGCGGGCCGGUAAGCUACCUAUAACCGGCAUGCAAACCAAACCAAAAACAAGAGAAAACGUUUCGGAACUAUCGAACUAGAUGCGAACUAGAUGACUAAAUGUAUCUGAUAGCCAGGUAACUGAACUAUUGCGUUUUCUCUUGAUUGGUAGUGAAAUAAAUCAUUAAAAAUAUAAAAAGAACGUAGAGUCCAGCAGCUCCAACAACAACUGACGUACCCUUUAUUAUAACUCAUGAAACUAAAAAAAAAAACAACGAUAAAGAAAGAGGUAAUGAUAGUACGGGAGUAUGGUGGAGAAGAAACGAAUACGGGAAUGUGUUUGGAUCGGCAGACAGAGGAGGAAAUUGUCACAUUGUUGCAAAAAUAACACGUGCCGCUGAUUAGUAAACUAAGAAGGCCAAACGAGCAACUGAAAGAUUGAGUGCUUGAGUUUUCCAUUCUGUUAUUUAUGUGUGUUUGUACUCACCAUCCAACCACCCCCUUUACCAACCUUUUAUGUAGAGCUCUUAAUAAAAAUUAUUUAACGCUAUCG